AGAGUUUGAUCCUGGCUCAGAAUGAACGCUGGCGGCGUGCCUAAGACAUGCAAGUCGUACGAGAAAGUAGCAAUACGAGUAAAGUGGCGCACGGGUGAGUAAUACUUGGGUGAUGCGCCUCUUCGCUGGGGAUAACUAGACGAAAGUUUAGCUAAUACCGAAUAGUCCACUGAAUUCAUUUUCUUUGGUAAAGCCGUAAGGCGCGGAGAGAGUAGCCCAAGUCCCAUUAGCUAGUUGGUAGGGUAACGGCCUACCAAGGCGACGAUGGGUAGUCUGGUCUGAGAGGACGAUCAGCCACACUGGAACUGGAACACGGUCCAGACUCCUACGGGAGGCAGCAGUUAGGAAUUUUGCGCAAUGGGGGAAACCCUGACGCAGCAACGCCGCGUGGAGGAUGAAGGCCUUCGGGUUGUAAACUCCUUUUAGCUGGAAAAAACAAAAUGAUGGUACCAGCAGAAAAAGCACCGGCUAACUCUGUGCCAGCAGCCGCGGUAAUACAGAGGGUGCAAGCGUUAUUCGGAAUCACUGGGCGUAAAGAGCGCGUAGGCGGCCCGCUAAGUCAGAUGUGAAAUCCCUGGACUCAACCCAGGAACUGCAUCUGAUACUGGUGGGCUAGAGUGUAGGAGAGGAAGGCGGAAUUCCAGGUGUAGAGGUGAAAUUCGUAGAUAUCUGGAGGAACAACAGAGGCGAAGGCGGCCUUCUGGACUACUACUGACGCUGAGGCGCGAAAGCGUGGGGAGCAAACAGGAUUAGAUACCCUGGUAGUCCGCGCUGUAAACGAUGGAUACUAGAUGUCGGGAGUUCUUACCCUCUCGGUGUCGCAGCCAACGCAUKAAAUAUCCCGCCUGGGAAUUACGGCCGCAAGGUUAAACUCAAAGGAAUUGACGG
rnacentral:rRNA from 1 species